UACGUAGGUGGCGAGCGUUGUCCGGAUUUACUGGGCGUAAAGAGCGCGCAGGCGGUCGUGUAAGUCGAAUGUGAAAGCCCCCGGCUUAACUGGGGAGGGUCAUUCGAUACUGCUCGACUUGAAGGCAGGAGAGGGAAGUGGAAUUUACGGUGUAGCAGUGAAAUGCGUAGAGAUCGUAAGGAAGACCAGUGGCGAAGGCGAGUUUCUGGACAGUUACUGACGCUGAGGCACGAAGGCCAGGGGAGCAAACGGG
rnacentral:rRNA from 1 species